rnacentral:tRNA from 1 species
GCAUCUGUAGCUCAGUGGAUAGAGCAAUGGUUUCCGGAACCAUGUUAGCGGGGGUUCGAGUCCCUUCAGAUGCA